AAAAACCGGUGAAAAAGCCAACCGGGGGGGGGGGGAUUAGCGGGUUCGACGACUGUUAUAGGGAAGCCCUAGAAAGGUCCGAAACGCAACGCCAUAUGCCAGGUCCAGUAGCGAAAGGUCCAGAGUGCUUCUUUCUAUCUCAUUGCCUGUAAUUAUUAAUUAUUAAAUUAGUAAUCGGGAAAAAGAAAAAGAAUCGGCGUGUUUUUUUUUUUUUUUAAUAAAUGAAGAAAUUUGGGUACUAUUGUUUAUUCGUACUUUCCAUGGUGAUGAGCGAGUAGCGACAGGAAUUUUGGUUUUGCUGCCCAGGCUGAGUUUUGAUAGGUCUAAGGACUUUGGACGGACGUACUGAAUGUUAAAACGGUUGCGUACUCAAGAUUUGUGCUUGGGCUGAAUUUGUUUAAUAGCCAAAUCUUUAGGCCCAAAUUUUCCCCCAAAUGAUCUACACGUUUGCCCUAAUCCUCUUUUCUUUCCCGCCAUCCUACUCUCUGCUAUUCAGCGAAAAGUUAGGGUUCAAGUUGAAAGAUUUUGAAGCAAAGAUGACAAAAGAGGAAGCUGAAAACGGAAGAGAUGGCAUGGUAAUUGAUGGACCUGAGCAAGCAAACGCCGUCCCUGAUGGAUUCAACUUUAACUAUCUCAGAAUCUAGUAUCGUAAGAAUUCUCAUUUUUCUCUUUGAUAGUUUUUUAAAGGAAAUAUAU
rnacentral:lncRNA from 1 species